rnacentral:piRNA from 1 species
UGGUUGGUUUCUCUUCGCUUU